rnacentral:rRNA from 1 species
CGUGUCGUGAGAUGUUGGGUUAAGUCCCGCAACGAGCGCAACCCUUGUUUUUAGUUGCCUUAAUGGAACUCUAGAAAGACUGCCGGUUAUAAACCGGAGGAAGGCGGGGAUGACGUCAAGUCAGCAUGCCCCUUACACCCUGGGCUACACACGUGCUACAUUGGACGAGACAAUGAGAUGCAACUCUGUGAGGAGAAGCUAAUCUGUAAACUCGUUCUAAGUUCGGAUUGUAGGCUGCAACUCGCCUACAUGAAGUUGGAAUCGCUAGUAAUCGCUGGUCAGCUACACAGCGGUGAAUUCGUUCCCGGGCCUUGUACACACCGCCCGUCACACCAUGGAAGCUGGUUAUACCCGAAGUCGUUACUUUAACCUUUAUUGGAUGAGGAUGCCUAAGGUAGAAUUGGUGACUAGGGUGAAGUCGUAACAAGGUAACCGUACUGGAAGGUGCGGUUGGAUCACCUCCUU